rnacentral:lncRNA from 1 species
UUCUCAGUAGUCUUUUCAAUCCAGAGAGAAAUCGGGUAGCUGAUAAACUCAGAGUGCUUCUUGAUCAGAUCCUUGAGACGGCGCUCCUCAAGGUAUUCAAGCUGGUCCUCCUUAAGGAAAAGGGUAAUCUUUGUACCCCUCCCGAGAUUCUCGCCAGAGGCAUCUCUUGUAACAGUGAAUGACCCACCAGCCUGUGACUCCCAUACGUACUGCUCAUCAUCAUUGUGCUUGGUUGUCACAAUAACCUUCUCAGCAACCAAGUAUGCUGAGUAGAAACCAACAC